rnacentral:rRNA from 1 species
GAUAGGGGAACAUCGAGUGAUACUCAUCUUGGGUGUCUGUCCUCCCGUCUAAAAAACGGGAGUUAGCAAGGGCCGGGCAAGACCGGUGCCAGCCGCCGCGGUAAUACCGGCGGCUCGAGUGGUGGCCGAUAUUAUUGAGUCUAAAGGGUCCGUAGCUGGCUUUGCAAGUCUUUUGGGAAAUCCAGCGGCUUAACCGUUGGUCGUCCGGGAGAUACUACAUUGCUUGGGACUGGGAGAGGUAGGAGGUACUCAGGGGGUAGGAGUGAAAUCCUGUAAUCCUUUGGGGACCACCGGUGGCGAAGGCGUCCUACCAGAACAGGUCCGACGGUGAGGGACGAAAGCUAGGGGCACGAACCGGAUUAGAUACCCGGGUAGUCCUAGCCGUAAACGAUGCUCGCUAGGUGUCACAACAAUCGUGAAUUGUUGUGGUGCCGUAGGGAAGCCGUGAAGCGAGCCACUUGGGAAGUACGACCGCAAGGUUGAAACUUAAAGGAAUUGGCGGGGGAGCAC